AUGCCUUAGUACGGCGAGUGAAGCGGCAAAAGCUCAAAUUUGAAAUCUGGUACCUUUGGUGCCCGAGUUGUAAUUUGGAGAGUACCACUUUGGGACUGUACUUUGCCUAUGUUCCUUGGAACAGGACGUCAUGGAGGGUGAGAAUCCCGUGUGGCGAGGGUGUCAGUUCUUUGUAAAGGGUGCUCGAAGAGUCGAGUUGUUUGGGAAUGCAGCUCUAAGUGGGUGGUAAAUUCCAUCUAAAGCUAAAUACAGGCGAGAGACCGAUAGCGAACAAGUACAGUGAUGGAAAGAUGAAAAGAACUUUGAAAAGAGAGUGAAAAAGUACGUGAAAUUGUUGAAAGGGAAGGGCAUUUGAUCAGACAUGGUGUUUUGCGCCCCUUGCCUCUCGUGGGCUUGGGACUCUCGCAGCUCACUGGGCCAGCAUCGGUUUUGGCGGCCGGAAAAAACCUAGGGAAUGUGGCUCUGCGCCUCGGUGUAGAGUGUUAUAGCCCUGGGGAAUACGGCCAGUCGGGACCGAGGACUGCGAUACUUGUUAUCUAGGAUGCUGGCAUAAUGGUUAUAUGCCGCCCGUCUUGAGGAAUAAGAGCUUGCAUAGACAAGAUGUACCACGAGUCCCCCACCCAUCAUUCGACUGACGGGACAAGGUUGUUCCAGGUGUUAGCGACGCUUGUCCAGAGAGCUCCUCUGCGUAAUUUCGGUAGAAGAGCAAGGCGGCGGACAAUAGGGCAUCGCCGUGUCAACAACCGCUUCCCCAC
rnacentral:rRNA from 1 species